rnacentral:tRNA from 1 species
GCGGCGCCAUCGUCGGCGUCGAGGCGCUGCUGCGCUGGCAGCGUAGCGACGGCAGUUCGGUGCCCCCGGCGCUGUUC